rnacentral:rRNA from 1 species
AUUGAACGCUGGCGGCAUGCCUUACACAUGCAAGUCGAACGGUAACGGGCCUUCGGGUGCCGACGAGUGGCGAACGGGUGAGUAAUAUAUCGGAACGUACCUUUCAGUGGGGGAUAACGUAGCGAAAGUUACGCUAAUACCGCAUAUUCUGUGCGCAGGAAAGCAGGGGACCUUCGGGCCUUGCGCUGAUUGAGCGGCCGAUAUCAGAUUAGCUAGUUGGUGAGGUAAAGGCUCACCAAGGCGACGAUCUGUAGCGGGUCUGAGAGGAUGAUCCGCCACAAUGGAACUGAGACACGGUCCAGACUCCUACGGGAGGCAGCAGUGGGGAAUUUUGGACAAUGGGGGCAACCCUGAUCCAGCCAUGCCGCGUGAGUGAAGAAGGCCUGCGGGUUGUAAAGCUCUUUCGGCCGGGAAGAAAUCGUAUGGGCUAAUACCCUGUGCGGAUGACGGUACCGGCAUAAGAAGCACCGGCUAACUACGUGCCAGCCGCCGCAGUAAUAC